AGAGUUUGAUCCUGGCUCAGGAUGAACGCUGGCGGUAUGCUUAACACAUGCAAGUCGAACGGAUGUUUUCGGACAUUAGUGGCGGACGGGUGAGUAACGCGUGAGAAUCUAGCUUCAGGUUGGGGACAACAGUUGGAAACGACUGCUAAUACCGAAUAUGCCGAGAGGUGAAAGAUUAAUUGCCUGAAGAAGAGCUCGCGUCUGAUUAGCUAGUUGGUGGGGUAAGAGCUUACCAAGGCGACGAUCGGUAGCUGGUCUGAGAGGACGAUCAGCCACACUGGGACUGAGACACGGCCCAGACUCCUACGGGAGGCAGCAGUGGGGAAUUUUCCGCAAUGGGCGAAAGCCUGACGGAGCAAUACCGCGUGAGGGAAGAAGGCUCUUGGGUUGUAAACCUCUUUUCUUAGGGAAGAAAAAAAUGACGGUACCUAAGGAAUAAGCAUCGGCUAACUCCGUGCCAGCAGCCGCGGUAAUACGGAGGAUGCAAGCGUUAUCCGGAAUGAUUGGGCGUAAAGCGUCCGCAGGUGGUUUAUCAAGUUUGCGGUUAAAGGUUCUGGCUCAACCAGAGACAGGCCGUGAAAACUGAUAGACUAGAGUAUGGUAGGGGCAGAGGGAAUUCCCAGUGUAGCGGUGAAAUGCGUAGAGAUUGGGAAGAACACCGGUGGCGAAAGCGCUCUGCUAGGCCAAAACUGACACUGAGGGACGAAAGCUAGGGGAGCGAAUGGGAUUAGAUACCCCAGUAGUCCUAGCCGUAAACGAUGGAUACUAGGUGUAGCUUGUAUCGACCCAAGCUGUGCCGUAGCUAACGCGUUAAGUA
rnacentral:rRNA from 1 species